rnacentral:rRNA from 1 species
AUUGAACGCUGGCGGCAUGCUUUACACAUGCAUGUCGAACGGUAACAGGUUAAGCUGACGAGUGGCGAACGGGUGAGUAACGCAUCGGAACGUGCCCGAUCGUGGGGGAUAACGCAGCGAAAGCUGCGCUAAUACCGCAUAAGAUCCGAGGAUGAAAGCGGGGGACUUUAUAGCAAUAUGAGGCCUCGCGCGAUCGGAGCGGCGGAUGGCAGAUUAGGUAGUUGGCGGGGUAAAGGCCCACCAAGCCGAAGAUCUGUAGCUGGUCUGAGAGGACGACCAGCCACACUGGGACUGAGACACGGCCCAGACUCCUACGGGAGGCAGCAGUGGGGAAUUUUGGACAAUGGGCGCAAGCCUGAUCCAGCAAUGCCGCGUGCAGGAAGAAGGCCUUCGGGUUGUAAACUGCUUUUGUACGGAGCGAAAAGGUCUUCUCUAAUAAAGAAGGCUGAUGACGGUACCGUAAGAAUAAGCACCGGCUAACUACGUGCCAGCAGCCGCAGUAAAAC